rnacentral:tRNA from 1 species
GCAGUUGUAGUUUAGUGGUAAAAUAGAUGGUUCCCAACCGUCCGUCCUGGGUUCAAUUCCCGGCAUCUGCA